AUAUGAAAUAGAUUUUUUUCUUAAAAUAUAUGAAAUAUUAAUGAAAAUUUAAUUAACCUUUAUUCAUAUGAGAAAUAUGAUAAUAAUAUUUUAACAAAAUUAAUACCUUAUAUAUGAUAAAUAUAUAUUAUUUUAUUAAUAGAAUUAUACUUUAUUAGCUACGUCUAUGUCGUAUUUUAAUAUUUCGAAAGCUAUCGAAUCAUCAUGUUCGAAUUAUGUCAUGUCCUGUCUUUCGUGUCUGUGUCCGUAAAAUUUAGAUCAUAACUUGUUAUAU
rnacentral:lncRNA from 1 species